rnacentral:misc_RNA from 1 species
UGGUUCUGGCAUNGAUGAAGAACGCAGCGAAAUGCGAUAAGUAAUGUGAAUUGCAGAAUUCAGUGAAUCAUCGAAUCUUUGAACGCACAUUGCACCCUCUGGUAUUCCGGGGGGUAUGCCUGUUCGAGCGUCAUUACAACCCUCAAGCCCAGCUUGGUAUUGGGCACCGCCGGUCACGGCGUGCUCUAAAACCAGUGGCGGCGCCACUCGGCUUCAAGCGUAGUAACACUCCUCGCUUCCGGAGCUUGAAUGUGCUCUUGCCAUCAACCCCCAAUUUUAUCAAUGGUUGACCUCGGAUCAGGUAGGGAUACCCGCUGA